rnacentral:rRNA from 1 species
AUACGGAGGGUGCAAGCGUUACUCGGAAUCACUGGGCGUAAAGCGCGCGCAGGCGGCUAUUUAAGUUGGAUGUGGAAGCCUACGGCUCAACCGUAGAACUGCAUCCAAAACUAUUUAGCUAGAGUGUGGGAGAGGAAGAUGGAAUUAGUUGUGUGGGGGUAAAAUCCGUAGAGAUAACUAGGAAUACCAAAAGCGAAGGCAAUCUUCUGGAACACUACUGACGCUGAGGCGCGAAAGCGUGGGGAGCAAACAGGAUUAGAAACCCCAGUAGUCC